CUGCAAUAAACAUUCAUUGCUGUCGGUGGGUUUAUGCAGGAACAACUCACUGAUCAAUGAAUGCAAACUGCGG
rnacentral:pre_miRNA from 19 species